AACGCUAGCUACAGGCUUAACACAUGCAAGUCGAGGGGCAGCAUGAACUUAGCUUGCUAAGUUUGAUGGCGACCGGCGCACGGGUGAGUAACGCGUAUCCAACCUUCCGUUUACUCGGGGAUAGCCUUUCGAAAGAAAGAUUAAUAUCCGAUAGUAUGGUAAGAUUGCAUGAUAGUACCAUUAAAGAUUCAUCGGUAAACGAUGGGGAUGCGUUCCAUUAGGUAGUAGGCGGGGUAACGGCCCACCUAGCCUACGAUGGAUAGGGGUUCUGAGGGGAAGGUCCCCCACAUUGGAACUGAGACACGGUCCAAACUCCUACGGGAGGCAGCAGUGAGGAAUAUUGGUCAAUGGGCGGAAGCCUGAACCAGCCAAGUAGCGUGAAGGAUGAAGGUUCUAUGGAUCGUAAACUUCUUUUAUAAGGGAAUAACCGAUACCACGUGUGGUAUUCUGCAUGUACCUUAUGAAUAAGCAUCGGCUAACUCCGUGCCAGCAGCCGCGGUAAUACGGAGGAUGCGAGCGUUAUCCGGAUUUAUUGGGUUUAAAGGGAGCGUAGACGGGAUGUUAAGUCAGCUGUGAAAGUUUGGGGCUCAACCUUAAAAUUGCAGUUGAAACUGGCGUUCUUGAGUGCAUAUGAGGUGGGCGGAAUUCGUGGUGUAGCGGUGAAAUGCUUAGAUAUCACGAAGAACUCCGAUUG
rnacentral:rRNA from 1 species